rnacentral:rRNA from 1 species
UACGUAGGGCGCAAGCGUUGUCCGGAAUUAUUGGGCGUAAAGAGCUCGUAGGCGGUUUGUCGCGUCUGUCGUGAAAGCUUGGGGCUUAACCCCAAGUCUGCGGUGGAUACGGGCAGACUAGAGGCAGGUAGGGGAGAACGGAAUUCCCGGUGUAGCGGCGAAAUGCGCAGAUAUCGGGAGGAACACCGGUGGCGAAGGCGGUUCUCUGGGCCUGUACUGACGCUGAGGAGCGAAAGCGUGGGGAGCGAACAGG